GCCUCGGUAGCAUAGUUGGCUAUUGCGCUCGCCUCGUAAGCGGGAGAUCGGUGGUUCAAAUCCACCCCGGGGCU
rnacentral:tRNA from 1 species